ensembl:snoRNA small nucleolar RNA SNORD49
GUCAAUGAUGAAACAGGAAGUGCCGUCCUAUGCGAUCACUGACGAUAGUUCUUUUCAAUAUUUCUGAGA